UCCUUAUUUUUCUGAGUCUGCUCUUCUCUCUCUCCUCCUCCUCACCUUCACCUAUCAACUGGUUUUCUCCGCCCUCAUUGUUCACCAAAAAUGCAGAGAGACGACUACCAUUUUUCUUCAUUAUCCCUCGUCAGAUCUGUCUCUCUCUUCAGGACUAAAGCUCGUAUUGAAUCUGCCUGGAACUCAGUUAACCUAUACGAUGUGCUUACAAUCAUUUUUGAUGUUCAUAGACAUCUCAGCAGUUGCUGUUCUCCAGGUUUGUCUCUAAGGUCACUAAGGAGUUCAUGCAGACCCUAGCCAGCUAUUUCGAGUUGCAGCUCAUCAAGCUAAAAUUCUAGGACAAUAUUGUUUGUUGAGUUGAUCUUUACUAAGGAUGACUUAAAGGAGUAGCGUAGGGGGAUAUUUCCAUGUACAAGAUAAUGAGGAAAAGGAGUAUAGAUAGAGGGGACUUGAGACUUGCUUCUAUAUAUAGAACUCAAGUUCCUGUUUUAUAUUGAGACUCAAUACUAGCUCAAUACUGGAAUAUAGUAGUAUGAGAUUUCUCCUAUAUCCUUAAAAAAUCAUAUUAUUACUCGCAAUACCACCUGUUUAACUUGCUAACUCAUCAGCAAAGGCUUCUAACAGUAAUAUUGACCAUGAUCUCACUAAAUUCAUGUGGAUUCUUUGACAUAGGAUUCGGCCUUCUGCUGAGACCUUGAUAUAAGAAGAAGUAUUCCAAGCUAAAGAGGUCAACAAAAUGUACUUUUGAUGUUUAUAAUAGGCAAGCAUUAAUAUAUCAGCUUCUCUGUGGUUAAAGGAAUUUGUAGCGGUGAGAUAGAUUGCGGGAGUUAUGAUAUAUACGCUGUAUUUUUUAAUUUUUUUUGCGCAUAUUAUAGAUAAUUGCUUAAUACAUGGUAUAAAUUAA